rnacentral:rRNA from 1 species
UUGUGAAGUUUGCUUCUAAUCGUCUUCGGACAAUUACUUUGACUCUGGCCUCAAAUCAGGUAGGACUACCCGCUGAACUUAAGCAUAUCAAUAAGCGGAGGA